GGACGAGUGGCGGAGCGGUUGAACGCGGCGGUCUUGAAAACCGCAGAUGCCGAAAGGCAUUCGUAGGUUCGAAUCCUACCUCGUCCGCAA
rnacentral:tRNA from 1 species